rnacentral:rRNA from 1 species
GUGAGUCAUCGAAUCUUUGAACGCACCUUGCACCCUUUGGUAUUCCGAAGGGUACACCCGUUUGAGUGUCAUUGUAAUCUCACCCCAGAUUGUUUCUGGGAGUGGACUUGGACGCUGCCGUCACGGCUCGUCUGGAAUGUCUCAGUGUACCCCUGCCCGUCGGCGUAGACAGUGUGAUAGGUAUCUUCACUGCUCAAGCUCCUCGGAGGUGCGCUCUCGGACAGGCUCUGUGCUGCCAACCGUCUUCGGACAAAAUGCUCUGACAAUUUGACCUCAAAUCGGGUGGGAUUACCCGCUGAACUUA